GUCAGAGACUAAGCAAAUUUGAAUAGACCUCUGAGUAAAUAUUUCCCUUUUGGAGUUUUCAGGACUUUCUGUCCCGCUGUUUUAUGGGGAAGGCGGGGGAAGACACGCAGACAUCAAUUCGACUAAACAAAGUUUAUCAAUAAUAUUAAAAAUAAAAAGUAAAGCCCCUUUCUGAACAUUAUGGCUUAUUCCUUGAUUAUCCUUCUUAAUGCCACAGCGUGGCUAUCUCAGAACAAAAUUAGAGACUAACAGUAAAUUUACUUUAAUUUUUACGAAUAAUUCUCUAUCAAUGUAAAAAUUUUUCAUAUACGCGUGUAUGAAAGAAAAACACUACUAUUUUUCCACAUUCGUGAAAACUGCUUAACUGGGACAGUAACCGAGCGGCCAGUGAAUAUUUAAAAUACUGUAACCGACGAAUACGUAUGCUUCUAGGACCACGUGGAAUCUUUCCCAUGGAUUUCACCAUGUUGCCCAGGCUGGUCUCAAAACUUCUGAAUUCAAGCAGUCCGCCCGCCUCUGCCUCACGCCUGUAAUCCCAGCACUUUGGGAGGCCCAGGUGGGAAGAUCACGAGGUCAGGAGCUUGAGACCAGCCUGGCCAACAUGGGGAAACCCCAUCUCUACUAAAAAUACGAAAAUUAGCCAGGCGUGGGGGCAGGUUCCUGUAAUCCCAGCUACUCAGGAGGCUGAGGCAGGAGUAUCGCUUGAAACCGGGAAGUGGAGGUUACAGUGAGCUGAGAUCACAUCGUUGCAGUCCAGCCUGGGUGACAGAGCAAGACUCCG
rnacentral:lncRNA from 1 species